UACGUAGGGGGGCAAGCGUUGUCCGGAGUACUGGGCGUAAAGCGCACGCAGGCGGUCUUUUAAGUUUGGAGUGACAGUUGGUGGCUUAACUGCCAAAGUGCUUCGAAAACUGACAGACUUGAGGGCUUCAGAGGGACACGGAAUUCCGGGUGGAGUGGUGAAAUGCGUAGAGAUCCGGAGGAACACCAGUGGCGAAAAGCGGCGCACUGGACCACAACUGACGCUGAGGCGCGAAAGCUAGGGGGAGCAAACAGG
rnacentral:rRNA from 1 species